AUUGAACGCUGGCGGCAGGCCUAACACAUGCAAGUCGAGCGCAGCGGCGGACGGGUGAGUGAUGCCUAGGAAUCUACCUGGUCGUGGGGGAUAACGUCAGGAAACGGGCGCUUAUACCGCAUAGUAUCAGAUGAGCCUAGGUCUGGUUAGCUAGUUGGUGGGGUAAAGGCCUACCAAGGCGACGAUCCGUAACUGGGCUGAGAGGAGGAUCAGUAAAACUGGAACUGAGAAAGGGUCAAGACUCCUAGGGGAGGAAGCAGUGGGGAAGAUUGGACAAUGGGCGAAAGCCUGAUGCAGCAAGGCCGCGGGGGUGAAGAAGUUCUUCGGAUUGUAAAGCACUUUAAGUUGGGAGGCGUUACCAACAGAAUAAGCACCGGCUAACUUCGUGCCAGCAGCCGCGGUAAUAC
rnacentral:rRNA from 1 species